AGAACGCACGAAGAACAGCAGAAGAACGAAGUAAGAACAAUCUUAAAAGAUGAACAAAAGCCAUAGAAAAAUAAGAACACUUGAGAGAAAAGUUUGAGUGAAUGCUCUCAAAAUUCUAUUAAUCACUGAAUGAGUACAAUAUGGGGGAGAGGCCUCUAUUUAUAGUUGAGCCUUCCCAAUAUCAACGGUACAGAUCGAAAUACAUCAAUGGCUAAGAUCUAAAGCUAUCAAGAUAUCAAAUCUCUAAGAUUACAGAAUCGUAUCUUCUAAAGAAUACAUUAAAGUCUAGGAUCGUAUAUCUUUGAAGAUCCCCUUCCAUAUUUACCAAGCAUAUCUUUGAAGAUUACUUUCCAUAUUUUCCAAGCUUCAGAGAUGGGCUUUCAAUCUCUCCAAGCACUGGACCAGUCUGAUUAGGCCAAAUGCCCUCCCUCAAAAGCAAUAGAUCGCACAAGUCUAUCAUGGUUGCAAGUUUCCCUUCGCAACCCAUGACACUAGUAGCUGGUUCCCUCUAAAGUUUCCCUUAGGAUACCUAGAGCCCUUAGCGAGUUCUAUCAGGUAAAUCCAAUGAUUAAAGGCAUCGAGAGCGCAACGCCCUCGACCUAUUCUCAAACUUUAAAAAGGUAGGACGCUGCGGCUGCUUCAUUGAGCCGCGCCACGAAAUCGAGAGCUCCAAGUGGGCCAUUUUUGGUAAGCAGAACUGGCGAUGCGGGAUGAACCGGAAACCAGGUUACGGUGUCCAAUUGCGUGCUAACCUAGAACCCAAAAAGGGUGUUGGUCGAUUAAAACAGCAGGACGGUGGUCAUGGAAGUCGAAAUCUGCUAAGGAGUGUGUAACAACUUACCUACCAAAUCAACUAGCACCGAAAAUGUAUGGCGCUUAAGCGCGCGACCUAUACCUGGCUGUUAGGGCAAGGGCUAGGCCCCGAUAAAUAGGAGGGCGCGGUGGUCACUAUAAAACUCGGCGUGCGAGCCCGAGCAAAGCGGACGUCAGUGUAGAUCUUGGUGGUAAUAGCAAAUAUUCAAAUGAGAACUUUGAAGGCCGAAGAGGGGAAAGGUUUCAUGUGAACGACACUUGCACAUGGGUUAGUCGAUCCUAAGAGACGGGGGAAUACCGUCCGAUAGAGCGUUCAGUGUGAGCUUCGAAAGGAAAUCAGGUUAAAAUUCCUGAACCGAGAUGCGGCAGCUGACGGCAACUUAAGGGACUCUAGAAACAUUAGUGGCGGCCUCAGGAAGAGUUAUCUUUUCUGUUUAACGGCUCGCCCACCCUGGAAAUAGCUCAGCCGGAGGUAGGGUCCAGCGGUCAGAAGAGCACUGCAGGUUGCGUGGUGUCCGGUGUGCCCCCGGCGGCCUUUGAAAAUCUGGAGGACCGAGUGCCGUCCGUGCCCGGUCGUACUCAUAACUGCAUCAGGUCUCUAAGGUGAACAACCUCUGGUCAUUGGAACAAUGUAGGUAAGGGAAGUUAGCAAAAUAGAUCCGUAACCUCGGGAAAAGGAUUGGCUCUGAGGGCUGGGCACGGGGGUCUCAGUCCCGAACCUAUCGGCUGCUGGUGCACUGCUUGAGCUACUUUUAUGGUGAGAGUAGGUCACCGCGUGCCAGCCUGGGGACAGACUGGGAACGGCUCCCUCGGGGCCUUCCCCGGGCGAUAAACAAUCGACUCAGAACUGGUACGGACAAGGGGAAUCUGACUGUUUAAUUAAAACAAAGCAUUACAAUGGUCCCUGCGGAUGCUCACGUAAUGUGAUUUCUGCCCAGUGCUCUGAAUGUCAAAGUGAAGAAAUUCAACCAAGCGCGGGUAAACGGCGGGAGUA
rfam:Gossypium arboreum cultivar AKA8401 contig_54998_5, whole genome shotgun sequence.